rnacentral:rRNA from 1 species
CGCGGUAUUUUGACUGUGCGAAGGUAGCAUAAUCACUUGUCUUUUAAUUGAAGACUUGUAUGAACGGCUGAACGAGAAAAUAACUGUCUCUUUAAAAAAUCUUGAAUUUUACUUUUAAGUGAAAAGGCUUAAAUAAUUUUAAGGGACGAUAAGACCCUAUAAAUCUUUAUAUUAUUUUUCUUUAAAUUUCAAAUUAUAUAUUAAAAGAAAUAAAAGAAAAAAGUAUUAUAUUGGGGAGAUAAAAAUAUAAUUUUUUUAACUGUUUUAAGCAUAAAACAAUAAUUUUUGAUUUAUUAAAAAUUGAUCCUUUUUAAAGAUUUUUAAGAUUAAGUUACUUUAGGGAUAACAGCGUAAUUUUUUUUGAGAGUUCUUAUCGAAAAAAAAGUUUGCGACCUCGAUGUUGAAUUAAAAUAUCCUUAUAAGUGCAGAAGCUAUAAAGGAAAGUCUGUUCGACUUUUAAAAUUUUACAU